rnacentral:misc_RNA from 1 species
GAUGAAGAACGUAGCGAAAUGCGAUACGUAAUGUGAAUUGCAAAUUCAGUGAAUCAUCGAGUCUUUGAACGCACAUUGCGCCCCCUGGUAUUCCGGGGGGCAUGCCUGUCCGAGCGUCAUUGCUGCCCUCAAGCACGGCUUGUGUGUUGGGCCCCGUCCUCCGAUCCCGGGGGACGGGCCCGAAAAGCAGCGGCGGCACCGCGUCCGGUCCUCGAGCGUAUGGGACUUUGUCACCCGCUCUGUAGGCCCGGCCGGCGCUUGCCGAUCAACCCAAAUUUUUUAUCCAGGUUGACCUCGGAUCAGGUAGGGAUACCCGCUGAACUUAAGCAUAUCAAUAAGCGGAGGA